rnacentral:rRNA from 1 species
CUUACGCUAAUACCGCAUGCGCCCUUCGGGGGAAAGCCGGGGACCUUCGGGCCUGGCGCGAUUGGAUGAGCCCAUGUCGGAUUAGCUAGUUGGCGGGUAAUGGCCCACCCAAGGCGACGAUCCGUAGCUGGUCUGAGAGGAUGAUCGGCCACACUGGAACUGAGACACGGUCCAGACUCCUACGGGAGGCAGCAGUAGGGAAUAUUGGACAAUGGGCGCAAGCCUGAUCCAGCCAUGCCGCGUGAGUGAAGAAGGCCCUCGGGUUGUAAAGCUCUUUUGUCCGGAAAGAAAAGCGCCGGGUUAAUACCCUGGUGUCCUGACGGUACCGGAAGAAUAAGCACCGGCUAACUUCGUG